AAGGAGAUGUGUCAAAUUUAGCCAUUUUUUGUCUGUCUGAAACAAUUUUUAAAGUUCAGAACGACUUUUAAGUGCUUCGUCUGCCACAUCUUGACAUCGUCUGCUACUUUGGCUAGCUGAUAUGGAGGGUGUAAGAGUACCAUUUUAUGCGGAAUUCACAGUGAAAUUUGCGGAUGGGGUACAUCCAGAUGAGAAGAUUGUAGUAAAUAAGUAUGAUGCUGCAAGGAUAAGGGCAGGAGAUCAGAAAUUUAUUGAUCAGAUCAGGAAUUCUCUUAUAGAGGCAGAUGUCAUCAAAGA